AGAGUUUGAUCCUGGCUCAGGAUGAACGCUGGCGGCGUGCUUAACACAUGCAAGUCGAACGAACCUUCGGGUUAGUGGCGGACGGGUGAGUAACGCGUGAGAAUCUGCCCUCAGGAGGGGGAUAACGGUUGGAAACGACCGCUAAUACCCCAUAUGCCGAUAGGUGAAAUGAAUUUCGCCUGAGGAUGAGCUCGCGUCUGAUUAGCUAGUUGGUGAGGUAAUGGCUCACCAAGGCUUCGAUCAGUAGCUGGUCUGAGAGGAUGAUCAGCCACACUGGGACUGAGACACGGCCCAGACUCCUACGGGAGGCAGCAGUGGGGAAUUUUCCGCAAUGGGCGAAAGCCUGACGGAGCAACGCCGCGUGAGGGACGAAGGCCUCUGGGCUGUAAACCUCUUUUCUCAAGGAAGAAGAUAUGACGGUACUUGAGGAAUAAGCCACGGCUAAUUCCGUGCCAGCAGCCGCGGUAAUACGGGAGUGGCAAGCGUUAUCCGGAAUUAUUGGGCGUAAAGCGUCCGCAGGCGGCUUUUCAAGUCUGCUGUUAAAGCGUGGAGCUUAACUCCAUUAUGGCAGUGGAAACUGAUUGGCUUGAGUAUGGUAGGGGCAGAGGGAAUUCCC
rnacentral:rRNA from 1 species